AACGAACGCUGGCGGCAGGCCUAACACAUGCAAGUCGAACGCCCUAGCAAUAGGGAGUGGCAGACGGGUGAGUAACACGUGGGAACCUUCCCUAUAGUACGGAAUAGCCCAGGGAAACUUGGAGUAAUACCGUAUACGCCCGAGAGGGGAAAGAUUUAUCGCUAUAGGAUGGGCCCGCGUCGGAUUAGCUAGUUGGUGAGGUAACGGCUCACCAAGGCAACGAUCCGUAGCUGGUUUGAGAGAAUGACCAGCCACACUGGGACUGAGACACGGCCCAGACUCCUACGGGAGGCAGCAGUGGGGAAUCUUGGACAAUGGGCGCAAGCCUGAUCCAGCCAUGCCGCGUGAGUGAUGAAGGCCCUAGGGUUGUAAAGCUCUUUUGUCGGGGACGAUAAUGACGGUACCCGAAGAAUAAGCUCCGGCUAACUUCGUGCCAGCCGCCGCCGUAA
rnacentral:rRNA from 1 species